rnacentral:rRNA from 1 species
AUUAUGGCUCAGGAUGAACGCUAGCUACAGGCUUAACACAUGCAAGUCGAGGGGCAGCAUUGGGAUAGCUUGCUAUUCAGAUGGCGACCGGCGCACGGGUGAGUAACGCGUAUCCAACCUUCCUGCCAGUAGGGAACAGCCCGGCGAAAGUCGGAUUAAUGCCCUAUGUUCUCAAUGCGGACAUCUAAGUUGAAGGAAAGAUUCAUCGCUGGCAGAUGGGGAUGCGUCCGAUUAGCCUGCCGGCGGGGUAACGGCCCACCGGGGCGACGAUCGGUAGGGGUUCUGAGAGGAAGGUCCCCCACACUGGUACUGAGACACGGACCAGACUCCUACGGGAGGCAGCAGUGAGGAAUAUUGGUCAAUGGGCGUAAGCCUGAACCAGCCAAGUAGCGUGCAGGAAUGACGGCCCUACGGGUUGUAAACUGCUUUUAUGCGGGGAUAAAGUGCGGCACGUGUGCCGCUUUGCAGGUACCGCAUGAAUAAGGACCGGCUAAUUCCGUGCCAGCAGCUGC